CCAGGUUGAGGAGCCUGUCCUGCUUCAAUGGGUGGAGUGAUCGCUUGGUGGGAGAGAGAUCAAUCUGCAACUAUUGCAACAGCUGUAGGCACCCUGAUUGAAAACCACAGAUGUUACAUCAAACAAAGAGUUCCACCUACUGAGUGCACAGCAAAGACCUCUACUUCCAUUACAAGCAUCCAGCCGCAAGCAAGUGUGCCGGAGUCCUCCGCUACAACAGGCUCGCAAAGAUCAUCUUGUCUCAUCACUGCCGGUAACCUAACAGCUAUUGUAGGAUUCAACUCCUCCGGCCUGUCGCAGUACGGGACCAGUUACCCCGGUGAAAAUCAACUCAUUCGGCCCGCCGCAAUGCGGGACCAGCUGUUGCCACGGACUGUCAAACCUACGAACCCUAAAGAACAUUUUACUCAAAAGGAAUAUCAACUUCAAAAGACACAGCGGAGCGCGCGCUCAAGCCGACCUGAUCAGAUGACAGUCAGUAAGCUGACCACCCACGUCACACGCCACCAGGAGCUCACUGAAGUGAGCGGCCGCACUCCGUGAGCUCAUACCGCCCUCAGCUAGAGCAGGAUACCACCAAUAACCGGACUAAUGUGUUUGCAGGAAACAUUUGCUGACAUUUACUGUCAACGACAGUGUUAUAUGUAGUUGGACCCUGCUGCACUCCACCUUGUAGGAUUUGCAUGCUGCAGGACUUGGGCUGCUAAUCGAAAAUUCCAGCAGAACUUUGCCACAUUUUUACCUUACAGGACUGGAGAGUUUCAAGUGUAAUCCACCAUAUUGCCACAUUUCUUUCUUUUUUACAGGUUUGGUAGAACUUACAUAUCAUAUGAGAUUGCACAUGUAUAUAUUUUCAUUUCAGGACUGAUGAUAUAACCCUGUAAAUUGUGGCUAUUGAUGUUGCAUGAAUAUUUUUCCUUACAAGAGCACUUUAAGCCACUUCAUUCUUUUCUGCAGGAUUAUAGCUAUAUAAUACAACAACUGUGUGUAAUUAGGGCAAUAUUUUAAAUAUACUGCCUUAUCAGGGAGUUAGUGUUAGUUAGUGUUUUCUAACCUAUGCACAGCCGUAGGGCCCUGGGGCUGUUGCUCAUCUGUAUAUUUUUAGUCUGAUAUGGUCUAAUAUUUGAGAAUAAAUUGUCAAUUCUUAAGAUAUUGGUCUGUAAAAACAUUUUUUUUCUGGAGUGAGCCAAUAAGCUAUCAUACAUCCAAUUUAGUGGUUGGUGUGCUGAGGACUGAGAAAUCUAUUUAUACUCUUUCUACAAAGGAGUAAACAAUUCUAGCUGAACUUAAAGAUCAGCAGAAUCAGUGUCUGGAGAAACACAUCGAGUGAAAAGUCUCUGAGAACCAUAUUGGUCAACUAUAGGCAUAGUGGCCAAUGAAAAGACAAAGAAAACUGAAACCAUAUCCUAAUAAAAUGUAAAAACAAACCACUGCCCUAAAAUCUGUAGUGAAAACCUUGCAAUAAAAAUUAUAAAAAUG